UAGGGAAUCUUCCGCAAUGGGCGAAAGCCUGACGGAGCAACGCCGCGUGAGUGAUGAAGGUCUUCGGAUCGUAAAACUCUGUUAUCAGGGAAGAACAAAUGUGUAAGUAAUUAUGCACGUCUUGACGGUACCUAAUCAGAAAUCCACGGCUAACUACGUGCCAGCAGCCGCGGUAAUACGUAGGUGGCAAGCGUUAUCCGGAAUUAUUGGGCGUAAAGCGCUCGUAGGCGGUUUUUUAAGUCUGAUGUGAACGCCCACGGCUCAACCGUGAAGAGUCAUUGGAAUCUGGAAAACUUGAGUGCAGAAGAGGAAAGUGGAAUUCCAUGUGUAGCGGUGGACUGCGCAGAGAUAUGGAGGACCAACAGUGGCGAAGGAGUCUUUCUGGUCUGUAACUGACGCUAAUGUGCGAAAGCGUGAGGAUCAAACAGG
rnacentral:rRNA from 1 species